UACGUAGGGGGCAAGCGUUGUCCGGAAUCAUUGGGCGUAAAGUGCGUGUAGGCGGCCCGAUAAGUCCGCUGUGAAAGUCCAGGGCUCAACCCUGGGAUGCCGGUGGAUACUGUCGGGCUCGAGUCCGGAAGAGGCGAGUGGAAUUCCAGGUGUAGCGGUGAAAUGCGUAGAUAUCUGGAGGAACACCGGUGGCGAAGGCGACAUCCUGGACCAACACUGACGCUGAGUGAGCGAAAGCCAGGGGAGCAAACGGG
rnacentral:rRNA from 1 species